CAGAACUCGUCGUUCUCUUCUUUCUCCCUCAACUCUCUUUCUUCCCAAAACAGAACUCACCCGAAAAAAAUUCACCAAGUUGGAUACACCGUUUUCUCCAAUUCGCAGUGUUAAAAGAAUCGGUGACGCCGCAGACCCAACACCGCGACAUCGUCGUCGCGGUGCUCAGCUGGACGACACCCGAUUCGCGAUGGUUGUCGUCAGCUCUCCGUGGUGCCGCCGCUGAAUUUGGUCGCACCGUCCAGAUUGGCAGAUCCGUUUUCAUACCCCGAUGAAUCCCGAUUUACCCCGCAGAUAAGUCGUAAGUUCAUGGGUUGAUGAAUUGAAUUGGGGAAGAAGAUUAUACCUUCAAAAGAACAAAUUGGCUUGAAACAAAAGAUUGAAGCUUCUGGCUUCUCCCCCUCCCGAAUCGAUCCAUGAUGGAAUUUGGAUUUGGUGAGGAAAAAUGAAGUUCCUUUCUACUGUUCCCUCCGCCGCUUUGCGAUUCAACAGCGAGAAGUGAGUGGCUGCGAAUUUGUGUGAGGGAAGGAGAUUAGAGUAUGAGGAUUUAUAUAGCCGGGUUUUUUUUUCUUUUGUACUA